CUGCCCGCUGAUGGCUGCGGUGGGAGCCUGGCUGCUGAGCUUGGGCAGUCUUCUAGAAAGGAAAGAGUCUCCCAGUGAGGCCCAGAGGCGGGAGGAAAGCUGAUCUCAUCUAAAGUGGCUAUAUCUGAGCUCUAUGCUUGAUGAAUACAAAACAACAGAAGUGAUGUUUCUGGGCUGACGCCUUGAGAAACUGGCAGCUUCUACCUCCUCUCUGCUGGAAUGCCUGCUCUUGGAAAGCUAGCUGGCAUGCUGUAAGGAAGCUCAAGCAGCCCUGUGGAGGCAAGUCAGUGGCCUGCAACGUGUCAGCCCUGGGAUGAACCAUCUUGGAAAUGGACUCUCUGCCCUGCCUAAAUUGCAGGUUCAUGAGCAAAAGAAAGGACUGUUGCUAUUCUAAGAAGUAUCUGUCACUAUGUAGUGACAGAUACCGAAAUACUGAAACCCUGGCCCACAUCCGAGCUCCUCUGCCUGGCCAUGGUGAUUAGUCCAUGGAUGACCAAUGGUGCUUGGUCCCAGGUGAUCCAUCCUGGGAUGAGGUGUUAGGAUCCUGGGAGAGAUACUCACUCACCUGCUUCUAGGACCAUGAGCCACAAGGGCCUUGCUCAGAAUGGUGAAGCUGCCGAGGGAAGCUGCCCUGAAGCAGACAGAGGGAAGCAUGCUGAGCUGCUGCGAAAUGCAAAAAGGAAAGAGCCCUGCAGACACCCCACCCCAGCCCACCCCGCCCUGUGGCGUGAGCAGGAGGGUUCUGGCUCCUUUUUUGUCCAGUGAAUUUAAGUUGAGCUUUUGUCCCUUGCAAUCAACUAAGGCGGCCACCUAGCAAAUGUGUGACUCACAGGCCUGAGACUCAGUUCCCCAUCAGUAAAAUGGGGACAGUGAAGCCCUCAUCAAUGGUAGCUGGGCGAUUGUUAGCAAACCAGAGCUGCCAGUGCAGGCAGAGUGAGGGGCCGGCACAGAUGGGGAGCCAAGAGCAGCCCUCCACGCUCCACUUUACUCCAGGGAUGGCAGCAAAGCUCCGCCUGUCACACGGCUCCACCCUUGGCCCUGGGACAGGAGUCCUAGCAUGCCCAUUCUGUAGGGAGGAGGAACUGAGGCACAGAAAGCCCAAGUAACAUGUCCAGGUCCCACAGGCCAAUCCCAGACAGUCAGGCUCUGGAUCCCGGGCUGUUGGGAGAAGGUCUGGGAUGGGCUGUAUUGCAGGGGGAGACCCUCACCCCUCACAGGCCUCAGUUUCCCUAUCUCUAAAAUAGGAGACCUCCAAGAAGUCUCCUGAGACUGAGUCUCUCAGAUGUCUCCAUUUGGAUGGGCCUCGGACAGCCUAAUAGACCACUGAGAGGCUGUGGCGAGGGGUGGGGGGCAUACCCAGAUGCCACCUCACUAGGGGGCCCCAGGAAUCCCUCUCCCAGCAUGGCUACCACCUGCCCCAGGCUGUCGAGACCCUUUUUAAGGGAAGGUAGGGAAAGAGACCAGAGCCCAGAGAAGGGUAGGGGCUUAAGCAAGGCCGGCCCAAGGCCAGCCUGAGGACUGGGGAAGAGGCAGGACUAAAACACGCUGAGCUUGUGGGCCAGUGAGGGCUGAGCAGCCACCAGGUCUGUGGGGGCAGGGCAGGAGCCAGCAGGGAGCCUGGGGGAGGGAGGGAGGGAGCAAGGCUCAAGCUUCUCCCACCACAAGGCACUUGGGCUCGCCCUGCUCACUGGGCAGGUGCUGGGCACCAAAGCAGCUUAACUGGCCCUUGAGCACUAAGCCUCCAGUUGCCCUUGGCCCACCUGCGCCUUCUGACCCGCCGGCUUAGCUGGGAGCAGCUCCAGGCCAGUGAGAGCACCACCCCCUCCUGGAAUCCUAUCCUUAGACGUGAACUCCUUACAUCACCAUAAGAGGCAUAAUCCCAACAGCCGGUGACCAGAGAAUCGAUGCACACUCACUCUGGAAAAUUCAGAAAAUGCAGAAAAAGGUCAAGAGGUAGGAAAAAAGACCAUCCACAAUCUGACCUUCUCUCGGCAGCCAGGUGAAGCCCCAUUGCAGAGGACAAGGAGCCGGGGAGCAGCCCCCAGCCAGACUUUGUCCUUCUUGUGCCUGGCGGUGUCUCCAGCUCCUGAACUGGCCUGGCACGCUGUAGGUGCUCAGUAGUAUCUGUUUCAUAAAUCUGUCAUUCCUUUUACCCUCCA